GUCGAACGCUUUUUCUUUCACCGGAGCUUGCUCCACCGAAAGAAAAAGAGUGGCGAACGGGUGAGUAACACGUGGGUAACCUGCCCAUCAGAAGGGGAUAACACUUGGAAACAGGUGCUAAUACCGUAUAACACUAUUUUCCGCAUGGAAGAAAGUUGAAAGGCGCUUUUGCGUCACUGAUGGAUGGACCCGCGGUGCAUUAGCUAGUUGGUGAGGUAACGGCUCACCAAGGCAACGAUGCAUAGCCGACCUGAGAGGGUGAUCGGCCACACUGGGACUGAGACACGGCCCAGACUCCUACGGGAGGCAGCAGUAGGGAAUCUUCGGCAAUGGACGAAAGUCUGACCGAGCAACGCCGCGUGAGUGAAGAAGGUUUUCGGAUCGUAAAACUCUGUUGUUAGAGAAGAACAAGGAUGAGAGUAAAAUGUUCAUCCCUUGACGGUAUCUAACCAGAAAGCCACGGCUAACUACGUGCCAGCAGCCGCGGUAAUACGUAGGUGGCAAGCGUUGUCCGGAUUUAUUGGGCGUAAAGCGAGCGCAGGCGGUUUCUUAAGUCUGAUGUGAAAGCCCCCGGCUCAACCGGGGAGGGUCAUUGGAAACUGGGAGACUUGAGUGC
rnacentral:rRNA from 1 species